CAGCCGCCACGGGAAUACGAAGGGGGCUAGCGUUGUUCGGAUUUACUGGGCGUAAAGCGCACGUAGGCGGACUUUUAAGUCAAGGGUGAAAUCCCGGGGCUCAACCCCGGAACUGCCUUUGAUACUGGGAGUCUUGAGUUCGAGAGAGGUGAGUGGAAUUGCGAGUGUAGAGGUGAAAUUCGUAGAUAUUCGCAGGAACACCAGUGGCGAAGGCGGCUCACUGGCUCGAUACUGACGCUGAGGUGCGAAAGCGUGGGGAGCAAACAGGAUUAGAUACCCCAGUAGUCCCUGUCUCUUAUAA
rnacentral:rRNA from 1 species